GUUCGGGCCGCACGCGCGCUACAAUGACGGUGCCAACGAGUCUGAUCUUCUAGCCCGAAAGGGUUGGGUAAACUGGUCAAUCACCGUCAUGACAGGGAUCGGGGCUUGGAAUUGUUCCCCGUGAACGAGGAAUUCCUAGUAAGUGCAAGUCAUAAGCUUGCGCUGAUUACGUCCCUGCCCUUUGUACACACCGCCCGUCGCUACUACCGAUUGAAUGGUUUAGUAAGGUCUUUGGAUUGGCGCCAUUGUAGCAGUUGCCGUAAGGUAGCUUGCUCGACAGGUGCUGAGAAGAUGACCAAACUUGAUCAUUUAGAGGAAGUAAAAGUCGUAACAAGGUUUCCGUAGGUGAA
rnacentral:rRNA from 1 species